GACGAACGCUGGCGGCGUGCUUAACACAUGCAAGUCGAACGAAGAGCGAUGGAAGCUUGCUUCUAUCAAUCUUAGUGGCGAACGGGUGAGUAACGCGUAAUCAACCUGCCCUUCAGAGGGGGACAACAGUUGGAAACGACUGCUAAUACCGCAUACGAUCUAAUCUCGGCAUCGAGGAUAGAUGAAAGGUGGCCUCUACAUGUAAGCUAUCACUGAAGGAGGGGAUUGCGUCUGAUUAGCUAGUUGGAGGGGUAACGGCCCACCUAGGCGAUGAUCAGUAGCCGGUCUGAGAGGAUGAACGGCCACAUUGGGACUGAGACACGGCCCAGACUCCUACGGGAGGCAGCAGUGGGGAAUCUUCCGCAAUGGACGAAAGUCUGACGGAGCAACGCCGCGUGAGCGAUGACGGCCUUCGGGUUGUAAAGCUCUGUUAAUCGGGACGAAAGGCCUUCUUGCGAAUAGUGAGAAGGAUUGACGGUACCGGAAUAGAAAGCCACGGCUAACUACGUG
rnacentral:rRNA from 1 species